AUGUGCGGCCAUAUGCCUGCGUACACACCAGAACCCGUUCGAUCUCUGAAGUUAAGCGCGUGACAGCUUUGAUAGUACUGCGAUGGGAGACCGCGUGGGAACACAGAGUGCUGCACUUU
rfam:Nematocida parisii ERTm3 unplaced genomic scaffold supercont1.11, whole genome shotgun sequence.